rnacentral:rRNA from 1 species
GUCGAACGAUGAUGCCCAGCUUGCUGGGCGGAUUAGUGGCGAACGGGUGAGUAAUACGUGAGUAACCUGCCCUUGACUCUGGGAUAAGCCUGGGAAACUGGGUCUAAUACUGGAUACUACCUCUUACCGCAUGGUGGGUGGUGGAAAGGGUUUUACUGGUUUUGGAUGGGCUCACGGCCUAUCAGCUUGUUGGUGGGGUAAUGGCUCACCAAGGCGACGACGGGUAGCCGGCCUGAGAGGGUGACCGGCCACACUGGGACUGAGACACGGCCCAGACUCCUACGGGAGGCAGCAGUGGGGAAUAUUGCACAAUGGGCGGAAGCCUGAUGCAGCGACGCCGCGUGAGGGAUGACGGCCUUCGGGUUGUAAACCUCUUUCAGUAGGGAAGAAGCGAGAGUGACGGUACCUGCAGAAGAAGCGCCGGCUAACUACGUGCCAGCAGCCGCGGUAAUACGUAGGGCGCAAGCGUUGUCCGGAAUUAUUGGGCGUAAAGAGCUCGUAGGCGGUUUGUCGCGUCUGCUGUGAAAGCCCGGGGCUCAACCCCGGGUCUGCAGUGGGUACGGGCAGACUAGAGUGCAGUAGGGGAGACUGGAAUUCCUGGUGUAGCGGUGAAAUGCGCAGAUAUCAGGAGGAACACCGAUGGCGAAGGCAGGUCUCUGGGCUGUUACUGACGCUGAGGAGCGAAAGCAUGGGGAGCGAACAGGAUUAGAUACCCUGGUAGUCCAUGCCGUAAACGUUGGGCACUAGGUGUGGGGGACAUUCCACGUUUUCCGCGCCGUAGCUAACGCAUUAAGUGCCCCGCCUGGGGAGUACGGCCGCAAGGCUAAAACUCAAAGGAAUUGACGGGGGCCCGCACAAGCGGCGGAGCAUGCGGAUUAAUUCGAUGCAACGCGAAGAACCUUACCAAGGCUUGACAUUCACCGGACCGCCCCAGAGAUGGGGUUUCCCUUCGGGGCUGGUGGACAGGUGGUGCAUGGUUGUCGUCAGCUCGUGUCGUGAGAUGUUUGGGUUAAGUCCCGCAACGAGCGCAACCCUCGUUCUAUGUUGCCGCACGUGAUGGUGGGGACUCAUAGGAGACUGCCGGGUCACUCGGAGAAAAGUGGGGAUGACGUCAAUCAUCAUGCCCCUUAUGNCUGGGCUUCCCCCNGCUACAUGGNCGGUNAAGGGUNCGAUACUNNNANGUGAACUANCCCAAANCCGGUUNNNUUUCGAAUUNAGUNGCACUNNCCUNUGGAAUC